rnacentral:tRNA from 1 species
GGGGGUGUAGCUCAGUGGUAGAGCGCAUGCUUAGCAUGCAUGAGGUCCUGGGUUCGAUCCCCAGCACCUCCA